rnacentral:rRNA from 1 species
AGAGAUGGAUUGGUGCCGUUCGGGAACUCUGAGACAGGUGCUGCAUGGCUGUCGUCAGCUCGUGUUGUGAAAUGUUGGGUUAAGUCCCGCAACGAGCGCAACCCUUAUCCUUUGUUGCCAGCGGUUAGGCCGGGAACUCAAAGGAGACUGCCAGUGAUAAACUGGAGGAAGGUGGGGAUGACGUCAAGUCAUCAUGGCCCUUACGAGUAGGGCUACACACGUGCUACAAUGGCGCAUACAAAGAGAAGCGACCUCGCGAGAGCAAGCGGACCUCAUAAAGUGCGUCGUAGUCCGGAUUGGAGUCUGCAACUCGACUCCAUGAAGUCGGAAUCGCUAGUAAUCGUGGAUCAGAAUGCCACGGUGAAUACGUUCCCGGGCCUUGUACACACCGCCCGUCACACCAUGGGAGUGGGUUGCAAAAGAAGUAGGUAGCUUAACCUUCGGGAGGGCGCUUACCACUUUGUGAUUCAUGACUGGGGUGAAGUCGUAACAAGGUAGGCGUAGUGCU